CCAGAACUGGUUCUGUUGUGUUCUGGACUCUCUUCCUCUCACCUGCUGGUCUGGACGGUUUCCUUGGAACGAUGGACGUGAUUGGAUAGAUUUUCGUUUUGUCUUUAGCUCACAGGAAGAGGUGCUGCAGUCGGCGGGAAACACCUGUCUCAGGUGUCUCAGGUGAGUUCUGUCGUCUGAGGUUCUGGUCGACGUUCCCUCACAGCGUCUGGGUCGUGACGCAGCAGCAGCUCAGGGAUGAUUGUUCUCCUGCAGGAGGCUUGUCAGCUCUCAGUGAAACGCUGCUGGACACGCCCCCUCUGAAAGCCCAGCUGAUGUCGUGUAAUUACAGCUGACAGAUGACAGCAGACGCUGCUCGCCGUUUUCACUCGUCCAGCAGGACGGAGACUUUUACCUGCAGGUCCAGGAUCUCCGUGCAGAUCUAGGAGAAGAAUCCUGCAAACUGUUGAUGCAAACAGGAAGUUUGACACAAAAACUCUCAGUUCACUUUUUAAGCUAAAUCUCAAAAUUCUCUGUUUUUUGUAACCAUGCAGAGAAAGUUUGAUCUCUGCUGAUAAAUAUUCAGACAUUUAUCAUAAAUCGGUGCUGCAGCAGUAAAGUCUUUAUCAAACAGACAUCAAUGAAGAUGUUGAUCAAACAGCCUGAAGUUCUGCUGACCCGUUUGCGGUUGAGUCCUGAGUCACCGCCGUGGUCAUGGUUUCCUUCACGAGGCUAAAAAGUAACAACAGUUACAAUGAAAUCAUGUAGAAGAAAAGAAACUUAAAGUUUAGUCACAUGACCCACAUGGGGGAGAGGGGGGGGUCUGUGCUGUAGAAGUGUUCACUAUGACCUCUCACCCGCAGCACGCCCGUAGAUAAACAUGAACAUGGUUCACUGAGCGGUCUGUGACCUCGAUGCUUCCUGAAGGUCAUCUGUAUGACCCGGACAGGUUUGACUGUUUCUCACCUGCAGACACCUGUGUUCACCUGUGAGGACGGCGGGGACUCAGACUUCACCUUCCAGAUAUGUUUUUAUUUAUAAAGAAUCUA